GGACUAUCACACUGGGGACCGGCUUCUCUGCUCUCCCUUUAUAGGGGUCGGGGGAAUGAAGGGGCAAGGGUCUUCCGAAGAAAGCGAGAAAGGAACAGGCGCCUUCAAAAGCCCACUUGGCAUGGGUUACAGUAAGAGGGCCCCUCCCGGUUCAACGGUCUCCUAACCUGUAGUCACCCACAAGAGCGUGCCCUUUCUGCCCGCUCUUCCUAGCAUUGCUCCGUGCUUGGCUGAGCACUGCGGAGUUUCACGCCUCUAAACCCCGCCUCUUCUUGCAACCUGUGUUGGCCUCAUCUACCCAGCAACUGUCGACGUCACACGACCUGGGCCUCCCUGAAUGGGAGAUAUUUACUAGACAAUCCCGCCUACUGUUCUGAGGUUUCCCCUCCACGUGCCGCUUCAGAGCCAGGCGAGCCAGGAAGGACCAGCGGGCGAGGUGGAAGUCUGCAUUAUCACGAGGAGCUUGGAAAGGAGGUAACACACUCAAGGCAAAUUUCAAGUAACUCAUCCUAGAGGCAGCUGCCUACUCUGCAGCUGUGGUUCUCCACCACAGAGAGAAGAAAAGGGAGGGAGAUGGAGUGUGCAGGUCUGAGAAGGCUUUCAUUCUGGAGCAUCUGCAGGAGCCUGCACCAUGGCCCAGUAGCACCCCUUUUUCUCCAUGAGCUGCUGGUGGGUUCCCCCCUCCCGGAUAGCGCCUCCUUCCAGAAAGAGGAUGUGGUCAGCCUGCUCCACCAGGCUGAGGUGCUGGGUGAUGAGAAGCACUGAGCGGGAGUACCGCUCAGGGCUUUGGUACAGGAGCUGCUCCACCUGAGGAAAGAUAUCGGACCGUCAGAGCUGGGGACUACCCUCAGCCCAGGGAGACACCUGUGUUUCCAGGGCUGGGACUGACCUCACAGGAUCACUGCUGGCUCUGCUAACAACCCCAAGGACACCAACGUUUCCCAUUCUGAGUACUUCUCCGCAAACCCUUUGUUUCAUUAAGGACUGUUUUACAUGAAGGUGCAAAAGUAGGAUAAAAAUGAGAGUCCUAGGGUGAAACACGUGACAGAAGAAUAAAGACUAUUGAAUAGUCCUCUUCUCUACCCAUGGACUUGGAAUUUUUAUAUUUGAUUUUAAGGAAAUAUAACUUAGUAGUAAAGAGAUGAGCAUUCAAGUCAGGCAGACCUGAGUUUGGAUCAAGGCUGCGCCACUCAAAAGCUAUAUGACCUCUAUACGAGCAGCUUAUUCAACCUCUUUUAGCCUCCAUUUUGUCAUCUGUAGAAUGAUGAUAAAUGCCUAGCUCAGAAGGAUUCCUAAUGAAUAAAUGAGUGACAGUGCAUGUAAACAGACUAGCUUAAUUAAUAUUAAUAUGAUUAGGAUGGGCUGAGCCCGGUGGCUCAUGCCUAUAAUCUAGCACUUUGGGAGGUCAAGGAGGGAGGAUCACUUGGGCCCAGGAGUUCAAGCCCGGGCUGGGCAACAUAGCGGGACACUGUCUGUACAAAAAAAAUUUUUUUAAAUAAACAAUAUUAUGAGGAUGGUCUUUUCC